rnacentral:rRNA from 1 species
GACGAACGCUGGCGGCGUGCUUAACACAUGCAAGUCGAACGGUAAGGCCCCUUCGGGGGUACACGAGUGGCGCACGGGUGCGUAACACGUGGGUGAUCUGCCCUGCACUUCGGGAUAAGCCUGGGAAACUGGGUCUAAUACCGGAUAGGACCACGCUCUGCAUGGAGUGUGGUGGAAAGCUUUUGCGGUGUGGGAUGGGCCCGCGGCCUAUCAGCUUGUUGGUGGGGUGAUGGCCUACCAAGGCGACGACGGGUAGCCGGCCUGAGAGGGUGUCCGGCCACACUGGGACUGAGAUACGGCCCAGACUCCUACGGGAGGCAGCAGUGGGGAAUAUUGCACAAUGGGCGCAAGCCUGAUGCAGCGACGCCGCGUGGGGGAUGACGGCCUUCGGGUUGUAAACCUCUUUCAGUACCGACGAAGCGCAAGUGACGGUAGGGACAGAAGAAGCACCGGCCAACUACGU